rnacentral:lncRNA from 1 species
UUCCCCUUUUUGGGGUCCCAAUCCCCUUUUUGGGGUCCCGCUCUCCCUUUUUGGGGUCCCAAUCCCCUUUUUGGGGGUCCCGAUUCCCAUUUUGGGGUCCCAAUCCCCUUUUUGGGGGUCCCGCUCUCCCUUUGGCGGGUCCCGAUUCCCGUUUUUGGGGUCCCGCUCUCCCUUUGGGGAUCCCAAUCCCCUUUCUGGGGUCCCAAUCCCCUUUUUGGGGGUCCCGCUCUCCCUUUUUGGGGUCCCGAUUCCCCUUUGGGGGGUCCCAAUCCCCUUUUUGGGGUCCCGAUCCCCCUUUUGGGGGUCCCGCUCUCCCUUUUUGGGGUCCCAAUCCCCUUUUUGGGGUCCCGAUCCCCUUUUUGGGGGUCCCGAUUCCCAUUUUGGGGUCCCGCUCUCCCUUUUGGGGUCCCAAUCCCCUUUUUGGGGUCCCAAUCCCCUUUUUGGGGUCCCGAUCCCCUUUUGGGGGUCCCGCUCUCCCUUUUUGGGGUCCCAAUCCCCCUUUUGGGGGUCCCGCUCCCCCUCUGGGGGUCUCACCUCCCUCGGGGGUGCGGAAGCGGAUCUCGGCGCUGGGGGGUCCCGCCCCCCGCCCGUUGAACACCAGCACCUGCAGCCGGUAGCGGCUCCAGGGCUGCAGCCCCCCCAAAAUCGCCUCGCUGGCCGCGCCCAGCACCGUCAGCACCCCCGGCUGGGGAGGGGGCUCGGGGGUCCCGGGGGGGGGGGCCUGGCGCCGGGAGCGCUCCCCCACCCACCCCUCCCGCCAGUACAGCACCUGCGGGGGGAGGAGGGGGCGUCAGCACCGCCAAAACAGCCCAAAACCCACCCGAAAAUGCCCCAAAACUCCCGCCAAAAAUGUCCUGAAACCCACCUAAAAAUGCCCCAAAACCCACCCGAAAAUGCCCCAAAACCCACCCGAAAAUGCCCCAAAACUCCUGCCAUAAAUGCCCCAAAAGCCACCCGAAAAUGCCCCAAAACUCCCGCCAAAAAUGUCCUGAAACCCACCCGAAAAUGCCCCAAAACCCGCCCGAAAAUGC